ACGUGAAGGAAGACUAUGUCACCAGUAUCACCUGCCUAAUAAAGUGAGUGGCUGAAUAUUUAAUGUAAAUUUUUGUGUGGUGAAUUAUACAGAUAACAUACAGAUACCGCCUACAAUUUAUACUUGGCAAUUCCAUCUGAUCAUGUGGACAUCCUGGAACUGCUGUAGAUUUUCCCAAAAUAUCGUCUCUUGCUGCAGGUACCGGCUAUAAAAUAUCCUCUUAGUCUGUGGCUAUACAUUUCGUAACAUGGAGAAAGAAAUACUUCAGAACGGUUAAAGUAAUCAUGUGGGUCAACUAUUACCCUAAGGCGCCUAAGCCUGGUGAAGUCUGAGCUUCAUUGCAGAAUGCAGUUAAAUGUGCACAUAGAUUUGUUGCAUCCAGCUGCAGUAAUUAUGUCAACUUUUUAACCCUAACUUGGAGAAGUCUGAGCUUCUUCAAUGAAGUCCAAUGUGCGCAUGGAUUUGUUGCAGCCAGCUGGCGCAAGGUGUUCCUCUUGCAGGCUUGUUACCUGUACCGGUUAUAGCUUUCGCUCACAUGCAGAAAAACUUCAGAACAAACUAAAAUAAUUAAAUCCAAUGUACACAUGAACUUGGUGCAGCCAGCUGGUGAAUGGUGUGGACGUGUGGUGACCUGUUGCAUGCAGACUGUGGUGUGUAAAUUGUGUCCACCAGUUGGCGGAGUGUCUGUUCGUGAGUGCGUGACGAAAUUCCGCCAUUUGUUUUUGAGACGGCUGAAUCGAAGUAAACAAUGCUUGAGCAACAUAUGUCGAAGAUCUUGCCUUUCUCCAAGUGGUUGCUGCCGUGCCAUGAAGAUGCGUCGUUGAGAGGGUCUCUACUAUAUUGCAAUACAAAAAUGUGAUGGAAACAAAAAAUCUUAAAAUGGUUUCCAUUGUCAGUUUGAUGUUUGAGCUGCCUAUGGUGUUGCUGUUUGGUGUACAGUGGUUUUGCAGUCAUUUUCCAGUUGAGAGAUGCGCUGAAAUGGAGUUUGUGUAAAUUUGCAGUUCAACAUAAUACUUGAUUGUGUCGUUUGCCUAUGUUGGUGUCCAUGCUGUAUAUGCAGUGUUGUAUAGCCUGAUGGCUGUCGGGCUUAUUUUAUCGGCUGUUUUCUGUCGAUAUGUCUUCUCUUGCUACCUGUACCGGCGUUGAGUUGAUUCGUUAGCCGCCGUUCCUUCGACUUGAUUCACCGGUGAAACUAAGAAGGCGUAGCUGAAUUUCAAGAUGGAUCAAUAAAUUAUGUAGAUAAAUUACAAGUGCAUAAUCUGGGCUCCCUACUUCAGUGCCCCCGUUUCCCUAACUAACCACUAACCAACGCCCGCCAGUGGUCACUCACUCGCUGCGACAACCAGGAGGAAGGGAGAUGUUUGGUCGAACGGGGACUUGCAAGGCGCAUGAUUCGAUGAAAUCUGUUGAAGGGUCAUGAGUCUAAGCCGGAAGUCUACUAUGAUGCAUUGCUCUCUUAAAAACUGUUCCUCGGCUCCCUUCGCUCUUUUUCAGGUUUCUCUUAACCAUGGCCGGGUAAUCUCCCUGGUCGAGUCAGUCGAGUGUCUUCCCUUGCUUGACUGGCUGCAGUUUGAACCAGACGGUCUGUUAAAAUAAGGAUUUAAAUCUAGAACAACGCUUCCAAGCGGCCCGGACCAUCCUGAAUCCUUUAGGGUUGCCAUUCCAUCCAGGCUUAAACGAGGAUGACGCGGAGGUGUUGCCCAUUGAGGGGUUUUGGUGACAAGGAGUCAAUGAACGAAACGCUAAACCAAAUAAAAAAAAUAUUAAAAAAGACCCAUCCCCAGCAACGUCAACCUGCAGAAAGAAAAAGGCCAGUUUCUAUGGCCUUCAGACUCGAAGAUCGCGGAGAUAAUUACGUAAAACUGGCAUGGGGUGGCGUAGAGGUUGGGUGAGAAUGACACGUUUUUCAACAUUAUCAAGCAGACCCAUCCCCGGCAAAGUCACCUGCAGAAGGAAAGGCCAGUUUGCAUUUCAAUUGAAGGUCAUGGAGAUCAUUACAUAAAAGGUGUUAUGUAGUGGUGUAGAGGUUGGGUGAGAAAGGGACGUUUUGCAUCAUUAUCAAAAAGGUAAAAAAGCCGCAAGGCAUAAGAGGAGGGGUGAGAAAAAGUCGUAUAAAAGGCGAGAGAAAAUUUGACAGGGAUCAGUCGAGCGAGUAUCUCCGACACGGCAACAGCUGCAUUCUUCGUCGUAAUAUCAGUUCGUUAUCAUGGUUAAUUAUGGUGUUGUGUUGCUGUUGGGUGUCGUAUCGUUGAUGUCGACCACGAGAGAAAAUCUAACAGAAGGAAAGAGAAAGGGCAACAGAAGUCAAUCGAGUGAGCAUCUCCGACCCGGCAACAACUGCAUUCUUCGUCGCAUCAUCAGGUCGCAAUUACGGUUAACUAUUCCGUCGUGCUGUUAUUGGUUGUUGUAUCAUCGAUGGCUGGGUCGACCACUGGUGUACUGAUGUCUCCUGGAUAAGGCGGAUACCAAACUGCAACGCUGCCGCCCUACUACACAACAACAUACGCAACGACCAGUUACUACACCGAGGUUGCACUGUUGGGUUUACAGUUAAAUCACCAAGGAUCGAGAUUAUUACACCACAACUUGUGCUGCUCCUCGAGCUACACUACCAAAGCGCUAGAGUACUACACCGAGGCACCUACUGAGACUACGCAACUACGUAUGCUGCCCCAACCUACGACACCGAGGCUCCAGCUUAUUACAUUACCAAAGCUGUCGAAUUCUACACUGGAUCUCCCAAGUACGACAGAAAUCACCAACACGGCAGCCCCGAAGUUUCGAAUAAACUUCGUUUCAAACAGUGGAACGGCAAAGAGUGAAGACAAAUUCGACUGCAAUCGCGUCGAAUUGAAUAGCAACGAUAACACAUUCGUACGUAUACACCGCGCCGUUAAACUUGACAUUGUCGGUCGGAAAGCCAAACUUAACGAUGGCGGUACCAUCACAUACGACAAGUGCUUUAUUGUCACAGUUGGUAAACGAAAAUCUUUUCCAAUCCCUGAGCGGUGCCCUUAAAGAUGCCCACGAGCACGUAGCGCUGUUCCGCAACAUCGAUGGCGGUAACAUAGGUCGAGUUCUCCGUUCUCCUAAAUAUUUGAGCCAAUCGACAACCGAGAAGGGGAAAGUGGAAAGUGUUAAUGUGUUGCCCAAAGCUUAUGUUGAGGCUGCAACUUUGGAAGACGACGAGGUCGCAUUGACCUUAAACGAUGGUUAAAAGAUUCUAACUAUGUCGUCGCUGUUGUCGGUUUCAACGCAAACACGGAUUUGGCUGUCGCUUCUUGUUUGGAAAUAGAUUCCAAUUUUGGUGGUUAUCGAGUCAAUACCGAGCUCGAAGCACGAUCGGCCGUCUGGCUGGCCGGACUCCGGAGAUGCUGCCUUCUUUUGUGAUAUCAAAUUGGGUCGUCGUCGUAGGGAAUAUCAUCACUUUGCUGUUGUAUCAGGGUGAUUGGCUGGAGAGAACAAUACUGGCAAGGAAACAUGGAUGAACAACUGCAGUGUACUCUUCCCAAGUGCAUUCUUCUUCGUAUUAUCAGUACGCAAUCGGUUGAUGAUGGUGUCGUGCUGUUGCCGUUUGUCGUAUCGUUGAAGGCUGGGUCGAUCACUGAUGUACCAAUGUCUCCUGGGUAUGGUGGAUACCAAAGCACCACACCGCUGCCUUACUACACAACGACAACAUUCGCACCAACCGGUUACUACACUGAGGCUCACAAUUACUACAUCACCAAGGCUCCAGAAUAUUACACCGCAGAUAACGCUUCCCCGAGCUACAUCAUCAAAGAUCCUGAGUACUACACCGAGGCUCCCAAGUGCUACACCACCAAGUCACCGGAGUACUACACGUAUGUUGCCCCAGCUUACUACACCGAGGUUUCCAAGAAUUAUUUAGUUCCUAGCUACUACACCGAGGCUCCAACUUAUUACACCACCAAAGCGGUUGAAUACUACACCGAGACACCCAAUUACUACACCACCAAGGCUCCAGAGUAUUACACCACAACUUGUGCUACCCCGAGCCACUACACCGAAGCCCCGAAGUAUUACUCUGCCCUAAGCUACACAACUGCAACUGAGGCGACCAAGUACUACGCAGCCCCAACUUACUACACAGCGGUUGCUCCUUCGUACUACGUUGAAUUGGAAUACUACACCUAGGCUUCAGUUUACUACACCACAACCUACGCUACACCUAGAUACUACACCGAGGCCCUUAUGUACUACACUACCAAGGCACCUGAGUAUUAUAACACUACUUACGCUGCUCCGACCAACUACACCGAAGCUCCGAAGUAUUACUCUAUCCCGAGUUGCAACACCACUAAGGCACCUGAAUAUUACACCACACCUUCCGCUUCUCCAACUUACUACAGGGACGUCCCUAAAUAUUAUAACUAUGUUCAGAUAUGUCGGUCAUAUCUUAAUAGUUACUAGUCACUGGGAAUUGUUGAUCUUUAAUAGGGAAAUCAAUUUUUUUUUAACCUGGGUGAUCAUUGUGUACGACUUCUCUUGCCACCUAAAAGCCCUAAGACAUUGCGACGUUUUCUUAUAUUUUUUGGAUCUUUCCUAUUUCGCAUGUUGGAGGUGACUUAUUGCUCUAGUCGCUCUGUAUUCCGACAUAUUCUAGUGUUUGGACAAACUUCAUUUACAGGGCAAGUAACGAAAGAGACAUACUGUGGUGUUUACUAAAAAUUUCUGAUGUUACCAGCUGUUUUUAACAUUAGUUGGGGUAACAAAUGAGUUGCAGAUAG